GUAACAAUUAGAAAUAAGUUCUGUAAUAAUUACAAAUAAGAUCUUUGGAAUAAAAUGCGGCCUUGAGUUUAUUUUCAUCAAAAUAUCAAGUAAUCUGCGUAGAAUUGACAAUAUGAGCUCUGUUGGGUUGUCUAAAUAAUUUGCGUGUGACUUGUGUAUUUUUUCCCAGAUGGAUAUUACAAUUCAAAAAGGGGGGUCUCUGCCAGAACUAAUACAGUGCACCAAAUGCUGCAGUCAUUUCCACUGUCCAUUUUGUGAUGCCUCAGUUUUCCAACCAACACGGUUGGCAAAAGUGCAAACGCAUCUGCAGGCACAUUUCAAUAGAUCGGUCCAGCAUGAAGGUAAUAUUUGCAGUGUGUGCAUGUUUUAUUUUAUUAAUUGGUUUAUUUGUACAGGCCAUCAUUCAUGGCCUUUGCGAGCUGCAGGGCUUGUCUUGGCAGGAGGCUGAAGAGAUGUUCCUCCAGGGCCCCACUUAUCACUCAAGUGAAGUUGAGGAAUUUGACAGAAGAAUUGCUCGAGAAAUGAAAAAUCUCCCCAACAAGAAUCUCGAUGACUUGUAGGACCUCAUGAAAAAGAAUACAAAAAUAAAGUUUGGUGUGAGAAAAUGACUCCG